CCUACGGGUGGCAGCAGUGAGGAAUAUUGGUCAAUGGGCGCGAGCCUGAACCAGCCAAGUAGCGUGAAGGAUGGCUGCCCUACGGGUUGUAACCUUCUUUUAUAAAGGAAUAAAGUGAGGCACGUGUGCCUUUUUGUAUGUACUUUAUGAAUAAGGAUCGGCUAACUCCGUGCCAGCAGCCGCGGUAAUACGGAGGAUCCGAGCGUUAUCCGGAUUUAUUGGGUUUAAAGGGAGCGUAGAUGGGUUGUUAAGUCAGUUGUGAAAGUUCGCGGCUCAACCGUAAGAUUGCAAUUGAUACUGGCAGUCUUGAGUGCAGUUGAGGUAGGCGGAAUUCGUGGUGUAGCGGUGAAAUGCGUAGAUAUAACGAAGAACUCCGAUUGCGAAGGCAGCUUACUAAACUGCAACUGACAUUGAUGCUCGAAAGUGUGGGUAUCAAACAGGAUUAGAUACCCGGGUAGUC
rnacentral:rRNA from 1 species